GAUGAAGAACGUAGCGAAAUGCGAUAAGUAGUGUGAAUUGCAGAAUUCAGUGAAUCAUCGAAUCUUUGAACGCACAUUGCGCCCCUUGGUAUUCCAUGGGGCAUGCCUGUUCGAGCGUCAUUUGUACCCUCAAGCUUUGCUUGGUGUUGGGCGUCUUGUCGUAUUACGACUCGCCUUAAAUACAUUGGCAGCCGGCACUUUGGCCUAGGAGCGCAGCACAUUUUGCGAUCGUAGCCCGUUGUACUGGCGUCCAUCAAGAACAUUUACCACGUUUGACCUCGGAUCAGGUAGGGAUACCCGCUGAACUUAAGCAUAUCAAUAAGCGGAAGA
rnacentral:misc_RNA from 1 species